GAAGCGUCUGGAAAGUCGCACAGUAAAGGGUGAUAGUCCCGUACACAAAAAUGCACAGAUUGUGAGUUCGAUGAGUAGGGCGGGACACGUGACAUCCUGUCUGAAUAUGGGGGGACCAUCCUCCAAGGCUAAAUACUCCUGACUGACCGAUAGUGAACCAGUACCGUGAGGGAAAGGCGAAAAGAACCCCGGCGAGGGGAGUGAAAUAGAACCUGAAACCGUGUACGUACAAGCAGUGGGAGCCUACUUGUUAGGUGACUGCGUACCUUUUGUAUAAUGGGUCAGCGACUUAUAUUCUGUAGCAAGGUUAACCGUAUAGGGGAGCCGCAGGGAAACCGAGUCUUAACUGGGCGUUAAGUUGCAGGGUAUAGACCCGAAACCCGGUGAUCUAGCCAUGGGCAGGUUGAAGGUUGGGUAACACUAACUGGAGGACCGAACCGACUAAUGUUGAAAAAUUAGCGGAUGACUUGUGGCUGGGGGUGAAAGGCCAAUCAAACCGGGAGAUAGCUGGUUCUCCCCGAAAGCUAUUUAGGUAGCGCCUCGUGAAUUCAUCUUCGGGGGUAGAGCACUGUUUCGGCUAGGGGGUCAUCCCGACUUACCAACCCGAUGCAAACUACGAAUACCGAAGAAUGUUAUCACGGGAGACACACGGCGGGUGCUAACGUUCGUCGUGAAGAGGGAAACAACCCAGACCGCCAGCUAAGGUCCCAAAGUCAUGGUUAAGUGGGAAACGAUGUGGGAAGGCAUAGACAGCCAGGAUGUUGGCUUAGAAGCAGCCAUCAUUUAAAGAAAGCGUAAUAGCUCACUGGUCGAGUCGGCCUGCGCGGAAGAUGUAACGGGGCUAAACCAUGCACCGAAGCUGCGGCAGCGACACUUAGGUGUUGUUGGGUAGGGGAGCGUUCUGUAAGCCGUCGAAGGUGGCCUGUGAGGGCUGCUGGAGGUAUCAGAAGUGCGAAUGCUGACAUAAGUAACGAUAAUGCGGGUGAAAAACCCGCACGCCGGAAGACCAAGGGUUCCUGUCCAACGUUAAUCGGGGCAGGGUGAGUCGACCCCUAAGGCGAGGCUGAAAAGCGUAGUCGAUGGGAAACAGGUUAAUAUUCCUGUACUCGGUGUUACUGCGAAGGGGGGACGGAGAAAGCUAGGUUAUCCGGGCGACGGUUGUCCCGGUUUAAGCGUGAAGGUGGAUGACUUUGGUAAAUCCGGGUCAUUAUUAACACUGAGGCGUGAUGACGAGUCACUACGGUGAUGAAGUAACCAAUGCUACGCUUCCAGGAAAAGCCUCUAAGCUCCAGGUAACAUCAAAUCGUACCCCAAACCGACACAGGUGGUCAGGUAGAGAAUACUCAGGCGCUUGAGAGAACUCGGGUGAAGGAACUAGGCAAAAUGGUGCCGUAACUUCGGGAGAAGGCACGCUGAUGGUAGGUGAAGUGACUUGCUCAUGGAGCUGAAAUCAGUCGAAGAUACCAGCUGGCUGCAACUGUUUAAUAAAAACACAGCACUGUGCAAACACGAAAGUGGACGUAUACGGUGUGACGCCUGCCCGGUGCCGGAAGGUUAAUUGAUGGGGUCAGCCGCAAGGCGAAGCUCUUGAUCGAAGCCCCGGUAAACGGCGGCCGUAACUAUAACGGUCCUAAGGUAGCGAAAUUCCUUGUCGGGUAAGUUCCGACCUGCACGAAUGGCGUAAUGAUGGCCAGGCUGUCUCCACCCGAGACUCAGUGAAAUUGAACUCGCUGUGAAGAUGCAGUGUACCCGCGGCAAGACGGAAAGACCCCGUGAACCUUUACUAUAGCUUGACACUGAACCUUGAGCCUUGAUGUGUAGGAUAGGUGGGAGGCUUUGAAGCGUGGACGCCAGUCUGCGUGGAGCCAACCUUGAAAUACCACCCUUUAAUGUUUGAUGUUCUAACGUGGACCCGUGAUCCGGGUUGCGGACAGUGUCUGGUGGGUAGUUUGACUGGGGCGGUCUCCUCCCAAAGCGUAACGGAGGAGCACGAAGGUUAGCUAAUCCUGGUCGGACAUCAGGAGGUUAGUGCAAAGGCAUAAGCUAGCUUGACUGCGAGAGUGACAGCUCGAGCAGGUGCGAAAGCAGGUCUUAGUGAUCCGGUGGUUCUGAAUGGAAGGGCCAUCGCUCAACGGAUAAAAGGUACUCCGGGGAUAACAGGCUGAUACCGCCCAAGAGUUCAUAUCGACGGCGGUGUUUGGCACCUCGAUGUCGGCUCAUCACAUCCUGGGGCUGAAGUAGGUCCCAAGGGUAUGGCUGUUCGCCAUUUAAAGUGGUACGCGAGCUGGGUUUAGAACGUCGUGAGACAGUUCGGUCCCUAUCUGCCGUGGGCGUUGGAAGAUUGAGAGGGGUUGCUCCUAGUACGAGAGGACCGGAGUGAACGCACCACUGGUGUACGGGUUGUGAUGCCAAUUGCAUUGCCCGGUAGCUAAGUGCGGAAGAGAUAACCGCUGAAAGCAUCUAAGCGGGAAACUUGCCUCGAGAUGAGUCUUCCCUGGGCACUAGAUGCCCCUGAAGGGCCGUUGAAGACGACGACGUAGAUAGGCUGGGUGUGUAAGCGUAGCGAUACGUUGAGCUAACCAGUACUAAUGACCCGAGAGGCUUAACCUUACAACACCGAAGGUGUUU
rnacentral:rRNA from 1 species